GAUCCUGGCUCAGGAUGAACGCUAGCUACAGGCUUAACACAUGCAAGUCGAGGGGCAGCAUGGUCUUAGCUUGCUAAGGCCGAUGGCGACCGGCGCACGGGUGAGUAACGCGUAUCCAACCUGCCUUACACUCUUGGACAGCCUUCUGAAAGGGAGAUUAAUACAAGAUGUUAUCAUGAGUAAGCAUUUUCGCAUGAUUAAAGGUUUACCGGUGUAAGAUGGGAGUGCGUCCU
rnacentral:rRNA from 1 species